UGGGGAAUUUUGGACAAUGGGGGCAACCCUGAUCCAGCAAUGCCGCGUGUGUGAAGAAGGCCUUCGGGUUGUAAAGCACUUUUGUCCGGAACGAAACGGUCUGGGUUAAUACCCUGGGCUAAUGACGGUACCGGAAGAAUAAGCACCGGCUAACUACGUGCCAGCAGCCGCGGUAAUACGUAGGGUGCAAGCGUUAAUCGGAAUUACUGGGCGUAAAGCGUGCGCAGGCGGUUGUGCAAGACAGAUGUGAAAUCCCCGGGCUUAACCUGGGAAUUGCAUUUGUGACUGCACGGCUAGAGUGUGUCAGAGGGGGGUAGAAUUCCACGUGUAGCAGUGAAAUGCGUAGAUAUGUGGAGGAAUACCGAUGGCGAAGGCAGCCCCCUGGGAUAACACUGACGCUCAUGCACGAAAGCGUGGGGAGCAAACAGG
rnacentral:rRNA from 1 species